UCCGGUUUGUCACCGGCAGUCUCCUUAGAGUUCCCGCCAUUACGCGCUGGCAACUAAGGACAAGGGUUGCGCUCGUUGCGGGACAUAACCCAACAUCUCACGACACGAGCUGACGACAGCCAUGCAGCACCUGUGCUGGGACUCCGAAGAGGGGCCCAUGUUUCCAUGGGCUUUCCCCAGCAUGUCAAACCCAGGUAAGGUUCUUCGCGUUGCGUCGAAUUAAGCCACAUGCUCCGCCGCUUGUGCGGGUCCCCGUCAAUUCCUUUGAGUUUUAGCCUUGCGGCCGUACUCCCCGGGCGGGGUGCUUAAUGCGUUUGCGACGGCACGGAAGGGGUUGAUGCCUCCCACACCUAGCACCCAACGUUUACGGCUGGGACUAC
rnacentral:misc_RNA from 1 species